UCCGGUUAAUCCUCCUUCUGUUGCUAUGGUGAGUUUAUAAAUCAUUCAUUCAUCUGUUUAAUUUAUUCUGAAACACUGACUCAGUUUUUUUGUCGUCAAAUUACUAUAUGUUUAGAUGUUAGAUGAGGAAGAUAAGAUGUUUCGUGAUGCCUUAAUUGAAAGUCGGAAAGAAUAUGCCGCAUUUUUGGACUCAUGGCCUACUUUCUCUGAUUACACUAAGCCUUCAUAUGAAGGUUUGGAAAACGCUAUAAAACAGAAGGAAGCUGAAACUAUAUCUAAAAUUGAAAGUUCUCGUGGCCGUAGCUCUACCGUGAACCGCAAGUAAACGUCGACACCUGCUUCAUGAGAUAUUAACUAAAUUAUGUCAGUGCUUCUUUUGAUUUUACUUAGUCGUAUUUAACCGUUUAAUCGUUUCUUUAAUAUGAAACACAUUUAAGAGUUUUGAAUUAGUGUUUUACUAUAGAAAGAGUUUGAAUAAGCGUUCUACUUAUUACACAAGGCGGUGUGGAUAAGAUUAAGAAGCAAUUGAGGGCAAUCAAAUUAAAAGCAUCGGUCUCAACCUUGCACUAACAACAAGACUUCUUAUUGACAAAAUCUUCUUGGAAAUUUUGUAUACGUAGGACGAAAGAGAUUCUCUUACGAACACAGUAGGUAUUGAUUUCCAAACAAUGAUUGGUUUGUGUUGUACAGCUGAGCUACCCUUGUGGGAGGGGGGUCAUAUGACCCAUGGGGUUAUGUUAAUUUUUUUUUAAUUUGUAUUUCUUAUAAAAAGAGCUAGGAAAAUAUUGCAAUAUUAGUUCAUUGACCCUAUAAAAAUGUUAACCAUAAGAUUGACCCAUGCAAGAGAUUGGGCUGGCUCCGCCACUUGUACUUGCAAUCUCAUUGAUAAGUACAAGAAGGCGUAUGUGAGGAAGAGAUUGAAGAAUAAAAUUGUGGAGGGUGAUGUUUUGAAUAAAGAAGAAGAGUAAAAUAAAGACACUGAAGGAUUCAGAAUCUUUACUAUGAAACAGAGUUGAAGGAAGUAUAAAUAAGAGUCAUAUUGUUUCUAUUUUCCUUAUGCUUGAUAUCAUUCUAAUUCUGUUGACGAUAUGAGUCGCAGGUCGAUCGCUAUGAGAUCGUAGUACUUUGAUAUUGAAAAUUUGUAAUCAGUACUUGUAUUGAGAGAUUCGUAUUGAUUGAGUGAGAAAUACAGAAUUCGUAUUAUCAUAAA